ensembl:lncRNA
GGUGGAGAUAAUUUAUUUCUAAUCCAAGGUAACAAAAAGGAUAUGGAGUAUAAAGUGUACUUAAAUGAAGAGGCACCUGUUCCUGCAGCUACACAAAGGCGAUGGACACAGAAUAUAAUAGGUUGCUGAAUGCAAAUAACUGUAUUUUAGGCAAUUUGUUUCUUAUUGUACAAUUACAUAUUGACUUACAUUAAUCAAAUAAGCAAGAAAUCUGCUCUUUUUUCUUCUUCAGGAGCAAAAAAGAGAAGAUCAUACAAGACAUGGCUUAUUCCCGAUAUAGUUGAAGAAAACAUUUCCAAUGAUGACAGUGGUGACAAU